rnacentral:rRNA from 1 species
UACAGAGGUCUCAAGCGUUGUUCGGAUUUAUUGGGCGUAAAGGGUGCGCAGGCGGUGUGGUAAGUUUGGUGUGAAAUCCUGGGGCUCAACCCCAGAAAUGCACUGAAUACUGCCAUGCUAGAGGACUGGAGAGGAGAUUGGAAUUCACGGUGUAGCAGUGAAAUGCGUAGAUAUCGUGAGGAAGACCAGUGGCGAAGGCGAAUCUCUGGACAGUUCCUGACGCUCAUGCACGAAGGCCAGGGGAGCAAACGGG